UAGUUACUCCCUCCGUUCGGAAUUACUUGUCGCGGAAAUGGAUCUAUCUAGAUGUAUUUUAGUUCUACAUACAUCCAUUUCCGAGACAAGUAAUUCCGAACGGAGGGAGUACUAC
rnacentral:pre_miRNA from 1 species